AGAGUUUGAUCCUGGCUCAGGAUCAACGCUGGCGGCGUGCCUAACGCAUGUAAGUCGCACGCACGGUCCUUUGGACCGUGAGUGGCGAACGGCUGAGGAACACGUACGAACCUGCCCGCUUGUGCGGAAUACCCCACCGAAAGGUGAGCUAAUACCGCGUACGCUCAUCCCUCUUGGGAUGAGGAAACCCAAGGCGCAGCGGAGGGGCGUGCGGCCCAUCAGGUUGUUGGUGGGGUAAUGCCUACCAAGCCCGCGACGGGUAGCUGGUCUGUGAGGACGAUCAGCCAGACUGGGACUGAGACACGGCCCAGACACCUACGGGUGGCAGCAGCGAGGAAUCUUCCACACUGGGCGCAAGCCCGAUGGAGCAACGCCGCGUGGAGGACGACGGCCUUCGGGUUGUAAACUCCUUUCAGGGGGGAUGAAACGGACAGUACCCCCAGAAGAAGCCCCGGCUAACUCUGUGCCAGCAGCCGCGGUAAUACAGGGGGGGCAAGCGUUGUCCGGAAUUACCGGGCGUACAGCGCGCGCAGGCGGUCACUACGUGCCGUGUGACAUCCGUCGGCUUAACCGAGGGAGGCCAGGGUACACGGGUGAACUUGAGGCAGAGAGAGGGAUGUGGAAUACCCGGUGGAGCGGUGAAAUGCGUAGAGAUCGGGUGGAACCCAGGGGCGAAGGCGGCAUCCUGGCUCUGUACUGACGCUGAGGCGCGAGAGCGUGGGGAGCAAACCGGAUUAGAUACCCUAGUAGUCC
rnacentral:rRNA from 1 species